rnacentral:lncRNA from 1 species
CGGACGCCACGAGGAGCCGUGACCGUUUCACGGCGGGACGUGAGGACCGGGGAGUGCUUGUCGCAGUCUGUUGCCGUAGGAGCCGCCCAACACUGGAGUCCAUGAACACUGUCUCGUCCAGGAUGGAACAGGGGGCGCUGCGUGUCCGGAUCCUUAACUCACGAGGUGGACGGGAGGAAGUGCCGGGGCAUGAUGGUGAUGGACACGAUCGGACACAUCUGGCCGCCUGCACUCGAAGCUCUGAAGAGGGUUAUCUGCGGCCGUGGAAGCGCUCUUCAAAGGCCCCUGUCAUAAUCCCCGCCCACUAUGGGACAUAUCAUGACUCGCAACGGUCCACCUAUCGCUAGUCGAACGUGUUGAACACCACCUCGGGCCUUGGAGCUGUUUUGGCAUUUAAAAUUACAUCUGAGUGCGACGCCCGGGCACUGAAUGCGCAUAUUCCACAGUUCACUGAAAUCAUUCCCUGCAUAAUCCAGUGAUACGCACACAUACGCCCUGGCUUAUAGAGCGUAAUAUUAAUGAGUGCCAUUGACCGCGACAUUCUGUGCUUUGAUGAUAAGCUCCUAGAGCUGUUUUGCACAACCCCUGACCUUGAGUCAAAGUGAAAAGACUUGCACGCUGCGUUGCUUGAAUGGGCUCCGGCUUUCGUGCAUGAAGAGCAGAUGUGACACAGAGC